rnacentral:rRNA from 1 species
GAUGAACGCUGGCGGCGUGCCUAUACAUGCAAGUCGAGCGAACAGACGAGGAGCUUGCUCCUCUGACGUUAGCGGCGGACGGGUGAGGAACACGGUGGUAACCUACCUAUAAGACUGGGAUAACCUCGGGAAACCGGAGCUAAUACCGGAUAAUAUAUUUAACCGCAUGGGUCAAUAGUGAAAGACGGUUUUGCUUUCACUUAUAGAUUGAUCCGCGCCGCAUUAGCUAGUUGGUAAGGUAACGGCUUACCAAGGCAACGAUGCGUAGCCGACCUGAGAGGGUGAUCGGCCACACUGGAACUGAGACACGGUCCAGACUCCUACGGGAGGCAGCAGUAGGGAAUCUUCCGCAAAGGGCGAAAGCCUGACGGAGCAACGCCGCGUGAGUGAUGAAGGUCUUCGGAUCGUAAAACUCUGUUAUUAGGGAAGAACAAAUGUGUAAGUAACUAUGCACGUCUUGACGGUACCUAAUCAGAAAGCCACGGCUAACUACGUG